UAGGUAUGUAAUAAGUUAUGUCUAUGCAGCAAUCGGACUAUCAAGACAUGAUAGAUAUUAUUCAAGGGUAAUUAAUUUAGUUUCUCUAUAAAAACUAUAUGUAAUGGCGCCGUUCUCUCAACAAUUAUUAAAGGAUCAAUUAUGUUUUUAUUGGGCGUAGGGUUUGGAAAAAGUUUAUUAAGGAACAAAAAAUGAAAUAUUGCAAAAGCCACU
rnacentral:lncRNA from 1 species